rnacentral:tRNA from 1 species
UCCCUGGUACCUCAGCUGGUAAAGAAUCCGCCUGCAAUGCGGGACACCUGGGUUCUAUCCCUGGCUUGGGAA